CCCAGACUCCUACGGGAGGCAGCAGUGGGGGAUAUUGCACAAUGGGGGAAACCCUGAUGCAGCGACGCCGCGUGAGUGAAGAAGUAUUUCGGUAUGUAAAGCUCUAUCAGCAGGGAAGAAAAAAGACGGUACCUGACUAAGAAGCCCCGGCUAACUACGUGCCAGCAGCCGCGGUAAUACGUAGGGGGCAGGCGUUAUCCGGAUUUACUGGGUGUAAAGGGAGCGUAGACGGCAAUACAAGUCGGAAGUGAAAUACCCGGGCUUAACCUGGGAACUGCUUUGGAAACUGUAUGGCUGGAGUGCUGGAGAGGUAAGCGGAAUUCCUAGUGUAGCGGUGAAAUGCGUAGAUAUUAGGAGGAACACCAGUGGCGAAGGCGGCUUACUGGACAGUAACUGACGUUGAGGCUCGAAAGCGUGGGGAGCAAACAGGAUUAGAUACCCCUGUA
rnacentral:rRNA from 1 species